rfam:Populus trichocarpa scaffold_3_contig_16, whole genome shotgun sequence.
UCUAGAACUCGAGAUAUGGGCUGAACACUGAACAGGGUCUGGGCUGCAGGACAGAUUCAGACUUCUCUGUUGUUGCUAUAACUUGGACUUGAAAAUGGCCAUCAUAAAUCUUGGACUCCCAUGAAAGUUUUAAGCCUAUAUCUUAACUUUCCAUC